rnacentral:tRNA from 1 species
AGGGGUGUAGCCAAGCGGUAAGGCAUGGGACUUUGACUCCCAGAUGCGCAGGUUCGAUCCCUGCCACCCCUG